CCCAGUAUGGCCGUCUCCGGCUCGUCGCGGCGGGCGCGUCUACCGAUUGAUGCGCGAACGGUCCGAAUACCCUUUUCCCCUUCCCUCUUGCUGCAGAUGUUGUUGCUGAAACAGUAUCGAGGAACACUGGCCGCUGGAUAAAACUAGGAGACAAAAAAACAGGCAGAGAAAAAGAGGGACGAAGUGAAGUUUAGAAAGUUAGAGGGCUGACGCGGAAAGGACGGGGAAGCGUUUGAAGAGGCGGUGAAAAUCGUUGCUCUAUCAAUGCCCACGGGGCAAUAGUCGCCUGCCGAACGUCGAUCGAUCGAUCGAUCAACCAUCGAUCUUCUCGAGAAUAAUGCGGAUAUUGUCGACCAACUACUGAUGGUUCAUUCCGAGAAGAAAAAAGAAGCAGGAGAAGGAAAAGGAAAAGGAGGAAGGAGGAGGCGGAUGGUAGUGUGUUAGUCCGAACCGUCGUUCACAAACAAACUUA